rnacentral:lncRNA from 1 species
GAUAUAGUUUUGGGGCUUUUUUAUAAAAUGACCCUCCAAAAAAUUAAAAUUGGCAAAAUGAUCCUGUAAAAAUUUUAUUUGUAAAACUAACCCUCCUUUCGCCACGUGGGUGCCACGUCAGGGUUUCCUUACAAAGACGGUGAAUCGUUUCCCGCUUUUAUCCAUUUCUUUUAAAAGCGGUGAAUCGUUUACCGCUUUCAUCGUUUACCGCUUUCUCCUAUUUCUUUUAAAGGCGGUAAAUCGUUCACCGCAUUCAUUAGAAUUGUGCGUGAAUUAUAUAGGAAAUAGAAAAAAGUGAGGUUGUUAGGAUUAUAUGUGGAUCAUUAGAAUUUUUAUUUGAUUAUUAGGAUUGUAUAGAUAGAUUAUUAGGAUUUUCAGGUUGUUAAGAUUAUAUGAAAUUAUAUGAAUAAAUUAUUAGGAUUUAAAGGUUGUUAAGAUUAUAUAUGAUUUGUUAGAAUUUUUAUGUGGUUGUUGGGAUUAUAUAUUAUAU